GACAGAGGGUGCAAACGUUGUUCGGAAUUACUGGGCGUAAAGCGUGUGUAGGCGGCUACAUAAGUCGGAUGUGAAAGCCCCGGGCUCAACCCGGGAAGUGCACUCGAUACUGCGUAGCUUGAGUCUCGGAGAGGUUGGUGGAAUUCUCGGUGUAGAGGUGAAAUUCGUAGAUAUCGAGAGGAACACCGGUGGCGAAGGCGAGUCUCUGGACGACUCCUGACACUGAGGCACGAAAGCUAGGGGAGCAAACAGG
rnacentral:rRNA from 1 species